rnacentral:lncRNA from 1 species
UCCGAAUCAAUCACCAUCCUCAUGAUGAUACUAUGAUUGGAAGUAUUUUGGAAUUAAAUAUAUGUCUUUAAUUCUCAACUCUUUGAGAAUAUGUAUCGAAAGUUAAUUUCAUAGAUAAUUCAAGGACACAUCAUACUUGAAUAAAAAAUAAAUUUAUUCUUUUAUUAAUCAAAUCAAUAUAUUAAGUAUAAAAUUAUGUCCUAGAUUUAUUUCAAUAUUUCAGCCAUAUUGGCUUUCAGGACAUACAUCUAAUAUUU